AUUGAACGCUGGCGGCAGGCCUAACACAUGCAAGUCGGACGGUAGCACAGAGGAGCUUGCUCCUCGGGUGACGAGUGGCGGACGGGUGAGUAAUGUCUGGGGAUCUGCCCGAUAGAGGGGGAUAACCACUGGAAACGGUGGCUAAUACCGCAUAACGUCGCAAGACCAAAGAGGGGGACCUUCGGGCCUCUCACUAUCGGAUGAACCCAGAUGGGAUUAGCUAGUAGGCGGGGUAAUGGACCACCUAGGCGACGAUCCCUAGCUGGUCUGAGAUGAUGACCAGCCACACUGGAACUGAGACACGGUCCAGACUCCUACGGGAGGCAGCAGUGGGGAAUAUUGCACAAUUGGCGCAAGCCUGAUGCAGCCAUGCCGCGUGUAUGAAGAAGGCCCUCGGGUUGUAAAGUACUUUCAGCGGGGAGGAAGGCGAUGUGGUUAAUAACCUUGUCGAUUGACGUUACCCGCAGAAGAAGCACCGGCUAACUCCGUGCCAGCAGCCGCAGUAA
rnacentral:rRNA from 1 species